GGCUGCCGUGGCACAGUGGUAACGCUUGAGACUUUGAUUCAUCUAGUCAUGGGUUCGAUGCCCGCCACGGUCC